UAUCGACUGGGAUGGAGGUCUGAACACACAACUGCAGUAGUAGGAGAGGUCCUGUACUGCUGGGGAGGGGCCCGGGAAGGUUUAGUUGGGUCGCAUGAUUCUCCUACAAAGAGACAGACUACUUCUGCUAUUGAUGCGUUUAACUUGUUAUCUGGUGUUUGGUCCUCUCAACCUACUAGAGGUACUCCUCCCUUGGGAAUCAGAGGUGUCUCCUGUACCACCAUUAAUAAUAAUAUUGGUGGCUAUUGUGGCCAUGACUUCUGCUACCAUAACAGUUUGAACUGUUUAGACACUUUAACUCUUCAAUGGAAAGAAUUACAACCAACUAGUGACAAUUCUGUGACUAAGAGAGGCUAUGGUGGCAUGAUAGUAAUCGGAAGUGAAAGUGAACCUCAACAGUUACUGGCACGGUUAUUGGUGGACAAGCUCCUAUAUCAACUAUUACACAUCAUUAUCAGUUUGAAUACGAAAAGAUAACUGGUUGGGAUUAUUGUGUUAGAACUAAUGAACAGAACAUCUACAGCCUGUUCUCUGGACAAUGGACUGUUCCAUCUGUCAGUGGACAGUGUUGUCCUCCAACUAGUGGCUUUACUGUUGAAAAGAUCAAUCAUAAUAAAGGAAUUAUGUAUGGAGGAGCAGUUCAUGAUGGUAUAGCUACUAACAGUAUCUACUUGUUUCAAUUAUCACAUAAUACAAUAAACUGGGAGUAUCUUAAAGAAGGAGCAAUACCUAAUGAUGGACUGUGGCCUAAGGAGAGAUGUGCUCAUGCCAGUACUAUUAUCAAUGGUGUCUCUACCUCACCUACACUAGUAGUGAUUGGUGGAUAUGCUAGAGGUCAACCAGUGAAUGAUUGUUUGUUAUUAGAGACAAACCUGUUCACUUGG